UUUUUUAUUUAAAAAUUUAAUUAAUUGCGUUGAUAAGCGUAAGGUUGAUUGUUCAAGUCAAUCUAGACUCA
rnacentral:tRNA from 1 species